GGUUAGGGCUGGGGUUGGAGCUAUGGGUUUUGGGUUAUAUCUUAUGGAUUAGGGUUGGGGUUAUGGGUUAGGGUUGGGGUUGGAGUUGGGGCUAUGGGUUUUGGGUUAUAGCUUCUGGGUUAGGGUUGGGGUUAUGGGUUAUGGGUUAGGGUUAGGGCUGGAGUUGGGGUUUGGGUUAGGGUUAGGGCUGGGGUUGGAGCUAUGGGUUUUGGGUUAUAUCUUAUGGAUUAGGGUUGGGGUUAUGGGUUAUGGGUUAGGGUUGGAGUUGGGGUUAUGGGUUAUGGGUUACAGCUGGGGCUAUGGGUUAUGGGUUACAGCUCAUGGGUUAGGGUUGGGGUUAUGGGUUAGGGUUGGGGUUGGAGUUGGGGCUAUGGGGUUACGGGUUAGGGUUAUGGGUUAGGGUUGGGGUUGGGGUUAGGGGUUAGGGGCUAUGGGUUAUGGGUUAGGGUUGGGGUUGGGGUUAGGGGUUAUGGGUUACGGGUUAGGGUUAUGGGUUGGGGUUGGGGUUAGGGGUUAUGGGUUAGGAUUAUGGGUUAGGGUUGGGGUUGGGUUUAGGGGUUGUGGGUUAGGAUUAUGGGUUAGGGUUGGGGUUGGGUUUAGGGGUUAUGGGUUAUGGGUUAGGGUUGUGGGUUAGGGUUGGGGGUUGGGGUUGGGUUUAGGGGUUAUGGGUUAGGGUUGUGGGUUAGGGUUGGGGUUGGGAUUAGGGGUUAUGGGUUAGGGUUAUGGGUUAGGGUUGGGGUUGGGAUUAGGGGUUAUGGGUUAGGGUUGGGGUUGGGAUUAGGGGUUAUGUGUUAUGGGUUAGGGUUGGGGUUGGGGUUAUGGGUUAGGGUUAUGGGUUAGGGUUGGGGUUGGGGUUGGGGGUUAUGGGUUAUGGCUUAAGGCUGGGGUUGUGGUUAUGGGUUAUGAGUUAAGGUUAGGGUUGGAGUUGGUGUUAUGGGUUAUAGGUUAUGAGUUAGGGUUGGGGUUACAGGUUAUGGGUCAGGGUUGGAUGUUGGGGUUAUGGUUAUGGGUUAGUGUUGGGGUUAUGGGUUAUGGGUUAUGGGUUAUGGGUUAGGGUUGGAGUUGGGGUUGAGGUUAUGGGUUAGGGUUACGGGUUAUAGGUUAGUUUGAGGUUAGGAUUGGGAUUGGGGUUGGAGUUAGGGUGAGGUUUAGGGGUUAGAUUCAGGGUUAGGAUUAAGGGUUAGGGUGAAAUUUAAGGUUCCUAUUAGGAUCAGGACUGGGGCUACGGGUUAGAGUUAGGGGUCAGGAUGAAGGUUGGGGUUCAGGGUUAAGCUGAGGGUUGGUGUCAGGCUUAGGGGAGGGCCCUCCCGGGACUCCCUGUAGCCUCCCAGUGCUCCCAGUUUGCAGCCAAACCAUUGUGCCGGGCCGAACCCGACGGGCGCAGCCGUUUCCUGGUGCGUUUUCUUCUAUUUUCCAAAAAAAAAAAAAAAAAAAAAAAAAAAAAAAAGAAAAGAAAAGAAAGAAAAGAGAGAGAGAAAAAGCAAACAAAAUUCUUCCCCGACCAGUUCGGGUUGCUACGAGACAACAAUGCGCUUUGCAUGGGGCCUUAAUUACAGAGCGGCUCUUAAUAAGCUGAGAAAUGAAUGGCGAAUGCGUGGGGAUCUGGCACUGAGCGGAGCCGUGCCUUCCUUCCUCCCUGCAGAAUACCCUUAACUCUGCCCCUGGUGCCAUGUGUGGGAAGGGAAGAGCCCACGUGUCCCCACUGCUG
rnacentral:lncRNA from 1 species